AGUGAACGCUGGCGGUAGGCCUAACACAUGCAAGUCGAACGGCAGCACAGUAAGAGCUUGCUCUUACGGGUGGCGAGUGGCGGACGGGUGAGGAAUACAUCGGAAUCUACUUUUUCGUGGGGGAUAACGUAGGGAAACUUACGCUAAUACCGCAUACGACCUACGGGUGAAAGCAGGGGAUCUUCGGACCUUGCGCGAUUGAAUGAGCCGAUGUCGGAUUAGCUAGUUGGCGGGGUAAAGGCCCACCAAGGCGACGAUCCGUAGCUGGUCUGAGAGGAUGAUAAGCCACACUGGAACUGAGACACGGUCCAGACUCCUACGGGAGGCAGCAGUGGGGAAUAUUGGACAAUGGGCGCAAGCCUGAUCCAGCCAUACCGCGUGGGUGAAGAAGGCCUUCGGGUUGUAAAGCCCCUUUGUUGGGAAAGAAAAGCAGCAGGUUAAUACCCCGCUGUUCUGACGGUACCCAAAGAAUAAGCACCGGCUAACUUCGUG
rnacentral:rRNA from 1 species